rnacentral:rRNA from 1 species
UAGUGCACGCCGCCUAGAUACUAAUGGCGGCCUCCGGGUGGUCAAGCUCUGUCGUAAGGGAAGAACAUUCAGGAUAGGAAAUGAUCUUGAACUGACGGUACCUUACCAGAAAGCCACGGCUAACUACGUGCCAGCAGCCGCGGUAAUACGUAGGUGGCAAGCGUUAUCCGGAAUUAUUGGGCGUAAAGGGUGCGUAGGCGGUUUAUUAAGUCUAUGGUGAAAGUGCGGGGCUCAACCCCGUAUGGCCAUAGAAACUGGUAGACUUGAGUGCAGGAGAGGGCAAUGGAAUUCCAUGUGUAGCGGUAAAAUGCGUAGAUAUAUGGAGGAACACCAGUGGCGAAGGCGGUUGCCUGGCCUGUAACUGACGCUGAAGCACGAAAGCGUGGGGAGCAAAUAGGAUUAGAUACCCUAGUAGUCCACGCCGUAAACGAUGAAUACUAAGUGUCGGAGAAAUUCAGUGCUGCAGUUAACGCAAUAAGUAUUCCGCCUGGGGAGUAUGCACGCAAGUGUGAAACUCAAA